AGAUUGAACGCUGGCGGAAUGCUUUACACAUGCAAGUCGAACGGCAGCACGGGGGCAACCCUGGUGGCGAGUGGCGAACGGGUGAGUAAUACAUCGGAACGUGCCCAGUCGUGGGGGAUAACGUAGCGAAAGCUACGCUAAUACCGCAUACGAACUCUGGUUGAAAGCGGGGGACUCGCAAGAGCCUCGCGCGAUUGGAGCGGCCGAUGGCAGAUUAGGUAGUUGGGUAGGGGUAAAGGCUCACCAAGCCUGCGAUCUGUAGCUGGUCUGAGAGGACGACCAGCCACACUGGGACUGAGACACGGCCCAGACCUCCGUACGGGAGGCAGCGAGGUGGGAAUUUUGGACAAGUGGGCGCAAGCCUGACUCCAGCCAUUCCGCGUGCAGGAUGGAACGG
rnacentral:rRNA from 1 species